AUACGGAGGGUGCAAGCGUUGUCCGGAUUCACUGGGUGUAAAGGGUGUGUAGGCGGGGCGGUAUGUCAGAGGUGAAAGCCCACGGCUCAACCGUGGAAUUGCCUUUGAAACUGCCGUUCUUGAGUCUCGGAGAGGUCGCUGGAAUUCGUGGUGUAGCGGUGAAAUGCGUAGAUAUCACGAGGAACACCAGAGGCGUAGGCGGGCGACUGGACGAGAACUGACGCUGAGGCACGAAAGCGUGGGGAGCAAACAGGAUUAGAAACCCCGGUAGUCC
rnacentral:rRNA from 1 species